AAGGAAAUGCUACGUCGGAUAUUGGGAAAAGCGUCAUUAUCAUGGAUAGAGCUGACCACCCUGCUAUGUGAAUGGACUAUCCACGGCAGAGACACCUGAUUUAGACGUAAUCGAUGCUCACAAUAUGAACAUCAGAUUGCGCUACCUGCAGACCCUGCGGACGGAGUUUCGACAGAGAUUUAGAAAUGAAUAUAUUUCGUUACUUAUUAGCAAGAACAAAGGUAAGUCGAAAUUCCCGUCGGUAGGCGACGUUGUCUUGAUACAGACUGAUGCAGGUCGUCUCUAUUGGCCUCUUGGCAUAAUAAAAGAAUUGGUUACAGGUAACGACGGCAUAACAAGAGUCGCGAAAGUACAGACUGCGAUGGGAGAGAAGAUAAGAAGUUGUCAACGCCUCUACCCAUUAGAAUUGUCGGCAGUCACAGACGAGUGGCAUACACCUACUGUCCCUAAGCAAGGUGAGCCCGACAGUGCUGACUUGCGGGCUGGAUCUAGCUGUGUUCUAGACCCAACUGCAAACUCUCACAUUGACGAGACACCCGCGAUAACAGUGGGUGAUGAGUCACACCCCUCGUCUACCACUACAAGACACGGUAGAGUCGUUAAGCUCCCACGCAGAUUUUUGGACUGAAUAUGUGGUAUGUAGAUCCCUUUCUAAUGUGUAAUAAGCAUAUUGACUUGCCUAUAAAUUUGGUAAAUAACAAAUUUGGUGAAUUUGGACUGUGCCAGUGGUUUUGUUCUUGAAUUGUCUACGUGACGAGUGAAUUUGGAGAAUCUGACAUUUAUAUUAUGUGUAUG
rnacentral:misc_RNA from 1 species